AUGGAGGAUGUCGAGGGGUUGAUGAGGGGACUGAAGCUGUCUGCGGCGGAGAGGAGGGGGAUGAAGAUCGGGGAAGCAGAGAAGGGGAAGGCUUGUGAAUGGGGGGCGGAUGAUCCCCAGUCGGUAGGGAAACUGUUCUCGGAGAAGCCAGCGCAUGCGGGGGUGAUCGGACAAACCCUGGGACGGAUCUGGUGCCCGAUCAAAGGGCUAGAGUGCAAGGAGCUAGAGACAAACAUCUUUCUAUUCACGUUUCGGCAAGCGUCUGGAUGGAGGAGAGCGUUGGAGGAGGGUCCGUGGUGGUUUGACAAGGAGUUGUUGGUAAUGGAGGAAUUUGACCCGGACAAGACGGUGGGCGAAUAUGAAUUCAAGAUCCCUAUGUGGAUCCGUGUCUUUGGACUCCCCCUGGGCCAAAUGAACAGGGCUACGGGAGAACGUAUUGGUGCUAAUUUCCAUGAUCUGGUUGAUGUGGAUGUCGGGCCUGAUGGAAAAGCUUGA
rnacentral:rRNA from 1 species